GGGUUGGUGGUCUAGCCCGGUUAUGACAGCUCCUUCACACGGAGCGGGUCGGCGGUUCGAAUCCGCCCCAACCCA
rfam:Salinarchaeum sp. Harcht-Bsk1, complete genome.